GUCUACGGCCAUGCCACCCUGAACGAGCCCAAUGUCUGAUCUCGGAAGUUAAGCAGGGUCGGCCUGGUUUAUCUGUUAACUUAUUUCCCAAUGGCUCAGUACUUGGAUGGGACACCACCUAGGAAGACCAGGUGCUGCAGGCA
rnacentral:rRNA from 1 species